UUAUUAUUAUAUGAUAACUGCACUGUUACACUCAGCUGCUGUUUCUUGCGUUGGCGGCCUUCCCGUUUUAACGAGUCUGGCCAUCUGAUCUCUUCCAUCAACGAGGUGUUUUUAGCCACAGAAACGCCGCUGCCUGGACGGCUUCUGUUUUUUUGUUCUUCACACCAUUCGCUGCAAACUCGAGACACCGGAGUGUGUGAAAAUCCCAGGAAGGCGGCUGUUUCUCAGAUGCUGCAGGCGCUACGUCUGGCACCAAAGAUCGCACCACCUUCAAAACCGCUUAGAUCAGGCGUCUUAGAAGAGCAGCCUGACUCAUCAAGCGCAUCACAAACGCCUUAGUCUCCCGGGACUGAUUCAGCUGCAGUGAAUCGCUCCCCCUCGGCAAUGUCCACACCGGCGCGAUGGGGAGGGAACGCUGGCUAACAUGCUGAGCGGAGGGUGGAUACUGGCCAUGAGGAAACCCAAAGCGGACCUCCUGUGCACACAGAAGACCACCAGACACCACCACAAAGACAGCGUCGGAAUGAAGAGAAUGUGGGACUCUACUUAAGGAAAGAUGUGUCCUGAAACAUCUAAGAUACACAUAUGUACACUAUAUAAGAACAAAAUCAAUAAUAAUAACAAUAAUAAUAAAACAAUGUGUUUAUCAAAGGGGGUCUGAAUCUAUUUUUGUCCUCAUGAAGGGACAGAAGUACAUAUCAUAAUGGGAAAAAAUACACAUAUGGUGUUUCUGUUUGGUUUAAAUGUGUCAGAUUACUGUAGUUGGCCUUGUGUUUGAAAAGACAAAUAAAACCUUGGAAUGAGCUGA